rnacentral:rRNA from 1 species
AGGAUAAACGCUGGCGGCGUGCCUAACACAUGCAAGUCGAACGCGCUUUCGGGCUUCGGUGCGAGAGCGAGUGGCGGACGGGUGAGUAACACAUGGGUACCUACCUUGGAGUGAGGGAUACCGGCGAGAAAUUGCCGACAAGACCGCAUACGCUUCUCUUUUCAAGGGGAGAAGGAAAGCUUUUCGCAAGAGAGGCGCUGGGAGAUGGGCCUGCGGCCGAUUAGCUAGCUGGUGGGGUAAUGGCCUACCAGGGCGACGAUCGGUAGCUGGUCUGAGAGGACGAUCAGCCACACUGGGAUUGAGAACGGCCCAGACUCCUACGGGGGGCAGCAGUGAGGAAUUUUCGGCAAUGGGGGCAACCCUGACCGAGCAACGCCGCGUGCAGGACGACGGCCUUCGGGUUGUAAACUGCUUUUCUCUGGGACGAGCAAGGACGGUACCAGAGGAAGAACGCCCGGCUAACUACGUGCCAGCAGCCGC